CGCGUAGGUGGUUUGUUAAGUUGGAUGUGAAAUCCCCGGGCUCAACCUGGGAACUGCAUUCAAAACUGACAAGCUAGAGUAUGGUAGAGGGUGGUGGAAUUUCCUGUGUAGCGGUGAAAUGCGUAGAUAUAGGAAGGAACACCAGUGGCGAAGGCGACCACCUGGACUGAUACUGACACUGAGGCACGAAAGUGUGGGGAUCAAACAGGAUUAGAUACCCUCGUA
rnacentral:rRNA from 1 species